GCUCCUUCUCUCCCAUCUCUACCUUCGCUCCUCUCCCUACCAUGGCCGACACCUCUCCCUCUACCCUGCGUGGUGGCCGGCGCCUCUCGAUCUUCCUGGCCACUCGAUGUUGAUGGGAGGUUGACACGACGGCGACAAGGAGGUCCAGUGAGGUCUUCCUUUCUUGGGCCAGAUAUGGCAGCCCCCGAGUCACGACGGCGAGGAGGAUGGCGAGGUUGGAUGGCUCCACAGGAGGACUACUCCUUCAAUUGGGAACUCCCCUGCUACGAGGAUUCGUGGGUGAAAACGGCGGUGCCCACUUUUGUGCUUGGUUUUCUUGAUUUUCGGGGAAAGGGAAAUAUGCUGGAGUUUGUGUUCUAGGGCAUAUGGGUUUGUGUUGGAUUGAAACAUGAACUUUGAUGAAUGUUCUGGAUUUUGUUUUUGAGUGAAAUGUAAUGUAUGUUCUUGAUCUCUUCUUUCGUGGCCUUUGAUGCGAAUCUCAGGAGGUGUUGAACUUAAAGCAUCAUCUUGAUCC
rnacentral:sRNA from 1 species